rnacentral:rRNA from 1 species
UACGUAGGGUGCAAGCGUUAAUCGGAAUUACUGGGCGUAAAGCGUGCGCAGGCGGUUAUGUAAGACAGUUGUGAAAUCCCCGGGCUCAACCUGGGAACUGCAUCUGUGACUGCAUAGCUAGAGUACGGUAGAGGGGGAUGGAAUUCCGCGUGUAGCAGUGAAAUGCGUAGAUAUGCGGAGGAACACCGAUGGCGAAGGCAAUCCCCUGGACCUGUACUGACGCUCAUGCACGAAAGCGUGGGGGACAAACGAGG